rnacentral:sRNA from 1 species
UUGAGGGCCAAAAGGAGUGAAGUCCUCCCCUAGAGUCCAGCACAAAGGCAUCAGCUGGGGAUGCUUGCUCCCACCCUGCCACCCCAAUAUGGUUCAACCUUGGUUUCAGGGGAGUUCAGUCUCCAUGGCCUGUUCAUUCCUUGGCCUCU